rnacentral:sRNA from 2 species
GAGCGGCCUCCGCCGAGUCGGCGUGCCCUGCGGGGCCGCGGAGCCGGGGACCCAACCGAACCAUGGGGUGAAUCGACCCGAGGCCGUGACGGGCCGGGUCGUAGGGCACACCUUCCGACGCGAACGCCCGAACCCGUCAGCUAACUCGGUAGGCGGAGUACGGAAGGAGCA